GACGAACCGUGCGAACGUUAUUCGGAAUCAUUGGGCUUAAAGGGCGCGUAGGCGGCGGCGUAAGUUGGAAGUGAAAUCCCAUCGGCUCAACCGUGGAAUUGCUCCCAGUACUGCGUCGCUCGAGGGGGAUAGGGGUCUGCGGAACUACCGGUGGAGCGGUGAAAUGUGUUGAUAGUCGGUGGGAACGCCAGUGGCGAAAGCGGCAGACUUGACCCUUCCUGACGCUGAGGCGCGAAAGCUAGGGGGAGCAAACGGG
rnacentral:rRNA from 1 species